rnacentral:rRNA from 1 species
AGAGUUUGAUCCUGGCUCAGAGUGAACGCUGGCGGUGUGCUUAACACAUGCAAGUCGAACGAGAACGGUACUAGCUUGCUAGUAUGUCAGCUAAGUGGCGGACGGGUGAGUAAUGUAUAGUUAAUCUGCCCUUUAGAGAGGAAUAACUACUGGAAACGGUAGCUAAUACCUCAUACUCCUUCUACCUUAAUGGUAGUUGGGAAACGUUUUUUCGCUAAAGGAUGAGACUAUAUGGUAUCAGGUAGUUGGUGGGGUAAGAGCCUACCAAGCCUAUGACGCCUAGCUGGUCUGAGAGGAUGAUCAGCCACACUGGAACUGAGACACGGUCCAGACUCCUACGGGAGGCAGCAGUGGGGAAUAUUGCACAAUGGAGGAAACUCUGAUGCAGCAACACCGCGUGGAGGAUGACACAUUUCGGUGCGUAAACUCCUUUUAUAUGGGAAGAUAAUGACGGUACCAUAUGAAUAAGCACCGCUAACU